UAAUACGUAGGGUGCAAGCGUUGUCCGGAUUUAUUGGGCGUAAAGAGCUCGUAGGCGGUUAGUCACGUCGGAUGUGAAAAUCCAAGGCUUAACCUUGGACCUGCAUUCGAUACGGGCUGACUAGAGUGUUGUAGGGGAGACUGGAACUCCUGGUGUAGCGGUGAAAUGCGCAGAUAUCAGGAAGAACACCGAUGGCGAAGGCAGGUCUCUGGGCAACUACUGACGCUGAGGAGCGAAAGCGUGGGAAGCAAACAGGAUUAGAUACCCUGGUAGUCCACGCCGUAAACGGUGGGCGCUAGGUGUGGGGAACAUUCCACGUUCUCCGUGCCGCAGCUAACGCAUUAAGCGCCCCGCCUGGGGAGUACGGCCGCAAGGCUAAAACUCAAAGGAAUUGACGGGGGCCCGCACAAGCGGCGGAGCAUGCGGCUUAAUUCGAUGCAACGCGAAGAACCUUACCUAGGCUUGACAGUUAGUGAAAUCCGGCAGAGAUGUCGGGUCCGCAA
rnacentral:rRNA from 1 species